rnacentral:rRNA from 1 species
CGCUGGCGGCGUGCCUAAUACAUGCAAGUCGAACGCACUCUCGUUUAGAUUGAAGGAGCUUGCUCCUGAUUGAUAAACAUUUGAGUGAGUGGCGGACGGGUGAGUAACACGUGGGUAACCUGCCCUAAAGUGGGGGAUAACAUUUGGAAACAGAUGCUAAUACCGCAUAAAACCUAACACCGCAUGGUGUAGGGUUGAAAGAUGGUUUCGGCUAUCACUUUAGGAUGGACCCGCGGUGCAUUAGUUAGUUGGUGAGGUAAAGGCUCACCAAGACCGUGAUGCAUAGCCGACCUGAGGGGGUAAUCGGCCACACUGGGACUGAGACACGGCCCAGACUCCUACGGGAGGCAGCAGUAGGGAAUCUUCCACAAUGGACGAAAGUCUGAUGGAGCAACGCCGCGUGAGUGAAGAAGGUUUUCGGAUCGUAAGACUCUGUUGUUGGAGAAGAAUGUAUCUGAUAGUAACUGAUCAGGUAGUGACGGUAUCCAACCAGAAAGCCACGGCUAACUACGUG